UGUCGUCAGCUCGUGUCGUGAGAUGUCGGCUUAAGUGCCAUAACGAGCGCAACCCUCAUCAUUAGUUGCCAUCAGGUUAAGCUGGGGACUCUAAUGAGACUGCCAUCGUAAGAUGUGAGGAAGGUGGGGAUGACGUCAAAUCAGCACGGCCCUUACGUCCGGGGCGACACACGUGUUACAAUGGGUGGUACAAAGGGCAGCUACAUGGCAACAUGAUGCUAAUCUCUAAAACCACUCUCAGUUCGGAUCGGAGUCUGCAACUCGACUUCGUGAAGCUGGAUUCGCUAGUAAUCGCGCAUCAGCCACGGCGCGGUGAAUACGUUCCCGGGA
rnacentral:rRNA from 1 species